rnacentral:rRNA from 1 species
UAGGGAAUCUUCCGCAAUGGACGAAAGUCUGACGGAGCAACGCCGCGUGAGUGAAGAAGGAUUUCGGUUCGUAAAACUCUGUUGUUAGGGAAGAAAAAAUGUAUAGUAACUAUAUACAAAAGAGACGGUACCUAACCAGAAAGCCACGGCUAACUACGUGCCAGCAGCCGCGGUAAUACGUAGGUGGCAAGCGUUGUCCGGAAUUAUUGGGCGUAAAGCGCGCGCAGGUGGUUUAGAAAGUCUGAUGUGAAAGCCCACGGCUCAACCGUGGAGGGUCAUUGGGAACUAAUAAACUUGAGUGCAGGAGAGAAAAGUGGAAUUCCUAGUGUAGCGGUGAAAUGCGUAGAGAUUAGGAGGAACACCGGUGGCGAAAGCGGCUUUUUGGCCUGCAACUGACACUGAGGCGCGAAAGCGUGGGGAGCAAACAGG